UACAGAGGUCUCAAGCGUUGUUCGGAAUCACUGGGCGUAAAGGGUGCGUAGGUGGCGUGGUAAGUCAGAUGUGAAAGCCCGGGGCUCAACCCCGGAAUUGCAUCCGAUACUACCAUGCUAGAGUACUGAAGAGGAAACUAGAAUUCUCGGUGUAGCAGUGAAAUGCGUAGAUAUCGAGAGGAAUACCAAAGGCGAAGGCAGGUUUCUUGGCAGUUACUGACACUGAGGCACGAAGGCCAGGGGAGCAAACGGG
rnacentral:rRNA from 1 species